rnacentral:rRNA from 1 species
AUUGAACGCUGGCGGCAUGCUUUACACAUGCAAGUCGAACGGUAACAGGCCGCAAGGUGCUGACGAGUGGCGAACGGGUGAGUAAUGCAUCGGAACGUGCCCAGUCGUGGGGGAUAACGCAGCGAAAGCUGCGCUAAUACCGCAUACGAUCUAUGGAUGAAAGCGGGGGACCGUAAGGCCUCGCGCGAUUGGAGCGGCCGAUGUCAGAUUAGGUAGUUGGUGGGGUAAAGGCUCACCAAGCCAACGAUCUGUAGCUGGUCUGAGAGGAAGACCAGCCAGACUGGGACGGAGACAAGGCACAGACUCCUACGGGAGGAAGCAGUGGGGAAUUUUGGACAAUGGGCGCAAGCCUGAGCCAGCAAUGCCGGGUGCAGGAAGAAGGCCUUCGGGCUGUAAACGGCCUUUGAACGGAACGAAACGGUCCUGGUUAAUACCUGGGGCUAAUGACGGUACCGUAAGAAUAAGCACCGGCUAACUACGUGCCAGCCGCCGCCGUAAAAC